CCCCUCUCUGGAUUGCACCUGGAGAGUUUCCAGUACCCUACCAGUCUCGGCUACAGGAGGGAGAGUCAAGCCGAGGCCUAUCCAUUCCAUUCCUAGCUUGGCCAGUGGCUAGCGAGUGGAAGGCAAUCUGCUACAAGU
rnacentral:snoRNA from 1 species